UCGCCGCCGCCGACGUCGCGAGAAGUCCACUGAACCUUAUCAUUUAGAGGAAGGAGAAGUCGUAACAAGGUUUCCGUAGGUGAACCUGCGGAAGGAUCAUUGUCGAUGCCUACAAAGCAGAACGACCAGCGAACUGUUUCUCAACACCCGGGACACUGGAGGGCGUUCAGCUGCCGGUAUCCCGACGCUUCGGAUGUUGAGGGGUGCGAUCCACCCCCAGCGGAUGGAGCAUCAAACACACCCCCGGCGUGCAAAGCGCCAAGGUACUCCAACGGUAGGCAAGCAACCGUACGCCUGGACUCCAUAGCGCUUGGGUGUNUGCUCGGUAUCAUAAAUNNNCGCAGCGAAAUGCGAUACUUGGUGUGAAUUGCAGAAUCCCGUGAACCAUCGAGUCUUUGAACGCAAGUUGCGCCCGAAGCUUAGGCUGAGGGCACGCCUGCCUGGGUGUCACACAUCGCUUUGCCUCCUGAACCUAUCCCCUCUGUAACACCGUGGUGAUGGUCUGGAUGCAGAAGAUGGCCUCCCGUGACCAUGAGCCACGGAUGGCCCAAAUUUGUGCUGGGGAAGCAAAGCGCCACGGCAUUCGGUGGUCGGCAUAGCCCCUGAGGCGUUGAAGGCCGUGGAAGCCGCGAGAGUCCCUAGCGUACGACCCUAAUCGUUAACCAAUGCGACCUCAGGUCAGGCGGGGCUACCCGCUGAGUUUAAGCAUAUCAAUAAGCGGAGG
rnacentral:rRNA from 1 species